GACGAAGGGGGCUAGCGUUGUUCGGAAUUACUGGGCGUAAAGCGCGUGUAGGCGGUUGUCCAAGUCGGGUGUGAAAGCCUUGAGCUCAACUCAAGAAAUGCACUCGGUACUGGGCGACUAGAGGACCGGAGAGGAUAGUGGAAUUCCCAGUGUAGUGGUGAAAUACGUAGAGAUUGGGAAGAACACCAGUGGCGAAGGCGGCUAUCUGGACGGUUUCUGACGCUAAGACGCGAAAGCGUGGGGAGCAUACAGG
rnacentral:rRNA from 1 species